UACGUAGGGUGCGAGCGUUGCCCGGAUUUAUUGGGCUUAAAGGGCGCGUAGGCGGGCCGCCCGGUCCGGGGUGAAAUCCUCCAGCUCAACUGGAGAAGUGCCUUGGAUACCGGCGGCCUCGAGGGAGGCAGGGGCGUGCGGAACUUCGGGUGGAGCGGUGAAAUGCGUAGAUAUCCGAAGGAACACCGGUGGCGAAAGCGGCGCGCUGGACCUCUUCUGACGCUGAGGCGCGAAAGCGUGGGGAGCAAACAGG
rnacentral:rRNA from 1 species